rnacentral:misc_RNA from 1 species
GGGGUUGUGAAGAAGCUGAAGAUGGAUUUGAAGAAGGAGCCGGCUUAUCCGAGCUACUCUGAGGUUUCUUGUUGUUUGAUGGAUUUGAAGAUGUAGUGGGCUUAUUCGAGCUGCUCUGAGGUUUCUUCUUGUCCCCUUCACCUGAUGGAUUCGAAGAUGGAGUCUGGUUAUUCAAGCUGCUCUGAGGUUUCUUGCUGGUCCCUUCACUUGCCUUGUCCUCCAUCCGAUGGUGGCGAACUUUGGUAGACUUUAAGCUCAUUGGAACGAUACAAUGGCAAACGAAACCAAUUCUUGCUAGUCGAUUAACCCAUCUGGGAAUUGGAUUGUUAGUGAGUUUAACACAAGCAUCACUACAGAAAUGGUUACAAUUCUUAGUAAUAAGAUUGUAAGCAUUUCCUUUAUACUUAUCAGCAAGUUCUUCCAUAACUCUUCUUACUUCUCUAGGUGUCUUCUCCGUCCAUCCGAUCAAAAUUGUCUUCCUGAAAAUAAAUCCCUCACACUUUUUCGGCUCCCCUUCGAAAAUUCCAGUACUUGGAUACUCAUGAGCUCCAAAUGCAUAUUCAACUCCAUGAACUUGAACGCCGGAAUGGUAAACUCCGAGACCAAUCCAAUAAGCAUAACCAUUCAUCGGAGUUAGAUCGUAUACGUUUAAGUACACAGGAACAGAUCCACGCCCAUUUUUAACUGAAUUUUUGCAGCAGAGCAUCUUGAAUAAAAACAGAGGAACUUUCAGGUUCCUCUCAUAGUGAAGAUGUAAAGAAAGAGGAUUCGGUAUUUUUCGAUUGAAUUGA